rnacentral:rRNA from 1 species
CCUACGUGUGGCUGCAGUAGGGAAUAUUGCUCAAUGGGGGAAACCCUGAAGCAGCAACGCCGCGUGGAGGAUGAAGGUUUUCGGAUUGUAAACUCCUUUUGUUAGAGAAGAUAAUGACGGUAUCUAACGAAUAAGCACCGUCUAACUCCGUGCCAGCUGCCGCGGUAAUACGGAGGGUGCAAGCGUUACUCGGAAUAACUGGGCGUAAAGGGCGUGUAGGCGGGAUAGCAAGUCAGAUGUGAAAUCCUAUGGCUUAACCAUAGAACUGCAUUUGAAACUGUUAGUCUGGAGUAUGGGAGAGGUAGGUGGAAUUCGUGGUGUAGGGGUAAAAUGCGUAGAGAUCAAGAAGAAUACUGAUUGCGAAGGCGACCUGCUAGAACAUAACUGACGCUGAUGCGCGAAAGCGUGGGGAGCGAACAGGAUUAGAUACCCCAGUAGUC